rnacentral:rRNA from 1 species
GACGGAGGAUGCAAGUGUUAUCCGGAAUCACUGGGCGUAAAGCGUCUGUAGGUGGUUUAAUAAGUCAACUGUUAAAUCUUGAGGCUCAACCUCAAAAUCGCAGUCGAAACUAUUAGGCUAGAGUAUAGUAGGGGUAAAGGGAAUUUCCAGUGGAGCGGUGAAAUGCGUAGAGAUUGGAAAGAACACCGAUGGCGAAGGCACUUUACUGGGCUAUUACUAACACUCAGAGACGAAAGCUAGGGUAGCAAUGGG